rnacentral:rRNA from 1 species
AUUGAACGCUGGCGGCAGGCCUAACACAUGCAAGUCGAGCGAGCGGCGGACGGGUGAGUAAUGUAUGGGGACUGCCCGGUAGAGGGGGAUAACUACUGGAAACGGUUGCUAAUACCGCAUACUAUCGGAUAACCCAUAUGGGAUUAGCGAGUAGGUGGGGUAAAGGCUCACCUAGGCGACGAUCUCUCGCUGGUCUGAGAGGAUGAUCAGCCACACUGGUACUGACACACGGCCCAGACGCCUACGGAGGCAGCAGUGGGGAAUAUUGCACAAUGGGAGAAAGCCUGAUGCAGCCAUGCAGCGUGGAUGAAGAAGGCCUUAGGGUUGUAAAGUACUUUCAGCGGGGAGGCGUUACCCGCAGAAGAAGCACCGGCGAACUCCGUGCCAGCAGCCGCGGUAAUAC